CCCCUAUCGCCACUCCUCUUCUCCACCCCCCACACCAUUCCUCCUCCCUUUCGAUACUGAAGAGCAGUCCAAAUUCUCUGCCCUGCGGGAAGACGAAGGUCUUCUAUCUACGUCCAGGAAGGAUUCAAUCCUGGAGGUCGUCUUAUUCUUCAUACAGGAAAGGAUAGAAUAUUAGAGGUCUUCUUAUUCUUCAUACAGAAAAGGAUAGAAUCCUGGAGGUCUUCAUAUUCUUCAUGCAGAAAACGAUAGAAUCUUGGAGGUCUUCAUAUUCUUCAUACAGAAAAGGAUAGAAUCUUGGAGGACUUCAUAUUCUUCAUGCAGAAAAGG